rnacentral:rRNA from 1 species
UAUCUCUGUAGAGUCUGCAUAUCAAUAAGCGGAGGAAAAGAAACUAACUAGGAUUCCCUUAGUAACGGCGAGUGAAGCGGGAAGAGCUCAAAUUUGAAAUCUUCAAGGUUUUACCUUGACGAAUUGUAGUUUAAAGAAGUGUUUUCUGUUAGAGUGAUUAGGUAAAAGUUCUUUGGAAUAGGACAUCAUAGAGGGUGAGAAUCCCGUAUUUGACCUAUUACUUCUAGCGUUGUGAUACACUUUCAAAGAGUCGGAUUGUUUGGGAAUGCAGUCCAAAAUGGGUGGUAAAUUUCAUCUAAAGCUAAAUAUUGGCGAGAGACCGAUAGCGAACAAGUACCGUGAGGGAAAGAUGAAAAGAACUUUGAAAAGAGAGUUAAACAGUACGUGAAAUUGUCAAAAGGGAAGCGUUUGACACCAGCGUUGUUUUUCUCGAAAAUCAAUUAAAAAUGGAUUCAUGCUAAGUUGUAUUGACCUUAUCAGCUUGCAAUUUAGUUUUGGGUUUCUUUUUGAUGCACUUUUCGGUUAACAAGUCAACAUCAAUUUCCUUUGCUGUAAAAAGGCAGGAGGAAGGUGGCUUCAAUUUCGGUUGAAGUGUUUAUAGCCUUCUGUCUCUGCAGUCGGGGAGAUUGAGGCCUGCAGCGUAGAUCCUUCGGGGCUAGAUACAUUCGUGCUAAGUUAUAGCCUUUUAUAGAAACCUGUUGACUAUGAUUGGUCUUGUAAUUUACUCGCGAGUGCUAUUUUACCUACGCUUAGGAUGUUGAUCUACAGAGCGAGAGU